rnacentral:rRNA from 1 species
ACGGCGUCGUUUGGCACCUCGAUGUCGGCUCAUCACAUCCUGGGGGGGGAGCACCUCCCAAGGGUUCGGCUGUUCGCCGAUUAAAGUGGUACGUGAGCUGGGUUUAGAACGUCGUGAGACAGUUCGGUCCCUAUCUGCCGUGGGUGUAGGAAAAUUGAGAGGAUUUGUCCCUAGUACGAGAGGACCGGGAUGAACAUACCUCUGGUGGAUCGGUUGUCGCGCCAGCGGCACAGCCGAGUAGCUACGUAUGGACGGGAUAAACGCUGAAAGCAUCUAAGCGUGAAACCCACCUCAAAACCAGUUUUCCCUUGAGAGCCGUGAUAGACGAUCACGUUGAUAGGCCGGGUGUGGAAGAGCGGCAACGCUUGCAGCUUACCGGUACUAAUCGCUCGAUUGGCUUGAUUGC